CCUACGGGCGGCAGCAGUGAGGAAUAUUGGUCAAUGGACGAGAGUCUGAACCAGCCAAGUAGCGUGAAGGAUGACUGCCCUAUGGGUUGUAAACUUCUUUUAUAUGGGAAUAAAAUGUUCCACGUGUGGGAUUUUGUAUGUACCAUAUGAAUAAGGAUCGGCUAACUCCGUGCCAGCAGCCGCGGUAAUACGGAGGAUCCGAGCGUUAUCCGGAUUUAUUGGGUUUAAGGGGAGCGUAGGUGGAUUGUUAAGUCAGUUGUGAAAGUUUGCGGCUCAACCGUAAAAUUGCAGUUGAAACUGGCAGUCUUGAGUACAGUAGAGGUGGGCGGAAUUCGUGGUGUAGCGGUGAAAUGCUUAGAUAUCACGAAGAACUCCGAUUGCGAAGGCAGUUCACUGGACUGCAACUGACACUGAGGCUCGAAAGUGUGGGUAUCAAACAGGAGUAGAUACCCCAGUAGUC
rnacentral:rRNA from 1 species